CGUUUCGACCGUGUGGUCUUCUUCAGAUUCCCUGUUUCCCUGUGAUCAUCAUCCCUUGGCUGUAAGGUUCCUACAGUGGCCUUGACUCACCACCAAGGUUCAUUUCCCACAUUCAAAGGUUUAUCAGUCAUGAGAUCUCCCUUUGGGCUACUUGACUGAAGUCAUCCUCUAAUCACGUCUGACCAAACAUGCGGCCCCACCCCCUCUGGGCUCUUUUGACCAAUCGUGGAUGGUCACCGGUGCUCCUGACCAAUCACGGAGUGCAGCCUGUGGUCUGGGAGUCCUCUGUGCUCUGUGGGAGAUUAAAGAGCUCGCCCGCAUGGGAGACAGAGAAGCCCCGAGUCCAGACCUCUCGGCCCAUCCACCCAACCCAGUGACCGGUGGUCU